rnacentral:rRNA from 1 species
AUGAUUGAGGGGGCAAGGUUCCACAAUAUGUUAGGUGGUGGUGGUGCUGGCAUCGGCGGCGGCAGAGGGAAGCUGGAGAACGAGGGCAACGGCUUCUACGACAUGCCGUAUUACCACAAGGUCGGGGAGAGCUCCCACAUGUCGGUGGACAGCGCGGACAACAUGAACUCGAUGAACUACGUCGGCGGCUCGGUCGCCAUGUCGGUGGACAACAGCAGCGUGGCCUCCAACGAGUCCCGCACCGUCAUGCUCAACCACCCGGGCCUCCGUGAUGUUCCCACACCAAACUAUUCGGUUUGCAACAGCGUCAUCUAUCCCAACAAGGCUGCCGCGUCUGUCCUCAAGGAGGAUGCGUUGGCUCGGGUUUUGAUGGACCCAACUCAUCCAACGGAGAUACUCACUAACUACGAGGCGUGGACCAUUGAUCUGGGGAAGCUGGACAUGGGGGCUCCUUUUGCUCAGGGGGCCUUUGGGAAGCUGUAUCGGGGAACGUAUAAUGGGGAAGAUGUUGCCAUUAAGCUGCUGGAGAAGCCUGAGAAUGAUCUAGAGAGAGCACAGUUGAUGGAACAGCAGUUUGUGCAAGAAGUUAUGAUGCUUUCCACGUUGAGGCACCCAAAUAUAGUAAGGUUCAUCGGGGCAUGCAGGAAGUCGAUUGUUUGGUGUAUCAUUACUGAAUAUGCAAAAGGUGGCUCUGUCAGGCAGUUCCUUGCCCGAAGGCAGACCAAGUCUGUGCCCCUGAGAUUGGCAGUGAAACAGGCGCUUGAUGUUGCCAGAGGAAUGGCAUAUGUGCAUGCCCUGGGAUUUAUUCACAGGGAUCUGAAGUCAGAUAACCUUCUAAUUUCAGCAGACAAAUCCAUCAAGAUUGCAGACUUUGGAGUUGCUCGAAUCGAGGUAAAAACCGAGGGAAUGACUCCAGAGACAGGAACCUACCGCUGGAUGGCACCGGAGAUGAUCCAGCACAGGCCUUAUGAUCAUAAGGUCGACGUGUAUAGCUUUGGGAUUGUGCUGUGGGAGCUCAUGACCGGCAUGCUCCCCUUCACAAACAUGACAGCAGUUCAGGCCGCUUUUGCCGUGGUAAACAAGAACGCCCGCCCUGCAAUCCCGCAAGAUUGCCUGCCUGCUCUGAGCCACAUCAUGACGCGCUGCUGGGAUGCAAACCCUGAAGUCCGCCCGUCAUUCAACGAGGUCGUCACCAUGCUCGAGGCUGCCGAGACGGACGUCGUUAGCAACGUCCGUAAGGCACGGUUCCGCUGCUGCAUCUCCGAGCCCAUGACCACCGACUGA